rnacentral:rRNA from 1 species
UACGAAGGGGGCUAGCGUUGUUCGGAUUUACUGGGCGUAAAGCGCACGUAGGCGGUUUGUUAAGUCAGGGGUGAAAUCCCGGAGCUCAACUCCGGAACUGCCUUUGAUACUGGCAGCUAGAGUCCGGAAGAGGUAAGUGGAACUCCUAGUGUAGAGGUGGAAUUCGUAGAUAUUAGGAAGAACACCAGUGGCGAAGGCGGCUUACUGGUCCGGAACUGACGCUGAGGUGCGAAAGCGUGGGAGCAAACAG